rnacentral:lncRNA from 1 species
UGGCUCUCGAGAUUCGGAGAACGAUGCCUCUUCGAUUUUUGAGAAAGCAAUCAUGCUGGGGGUCUGACUCUCGAGAUUCGGAGAGCAGUGUCUCUUCGAUUUUUGAGGAAGUAAUCAUGUUGGGAGUCUGGCUCUCGAGAUUCGGAGGGCGGUGCCUCUUCGAUUUUGGAGCAAGCAAUCUUGUUGGGAGUGUUGUCUCGAAUGUGAGUAAAGGUUGGGCAUGUUUGCUAGUCUACCUUGCCACGAAGCACAAAGGUUGACACACAGGGACUUUCCAAUUAUCCAGCAAUGGUACUGUUCCUUUACCCUCUCUUCGAUUUUGAGAAAGUAGUCAUGUUGGGAGUCUGGCUCUUUAGAUUCAGAGGACGGUGCCUCUUCGAUUUUGGAGCAAGCAAUUUUGUUGGGAGUGUUUUCUCGAAUGUGAGUAAAGGUUGGGCAUGUUUUGCUAGUCUACCUUGCCACGAAGCACAGAGGUUGACACACAGGGACUUUCCAAUUAUCCAGCAGUGGUACUGUUCCUUUACCCUUGUGGGUAAUAAUAUGGUAGCUAGACCUUCAAAAUUUAUGUGUCUAAACUUUGUUAGUGCUGUUUCUUUGUUAUUCUUUUACCUUUCUUGGUCAGAGCGAUGUAGUGGGAGCUGCAAGCUUCACGUGCUCAACUUUGGCAGAGAACUUUGGCAAAGUUAUCUGUGGUACCCAUGAGUUAUUAUUGCGUGUGGGAAGUGAGUGAUUGAACAGUAAGAUUCAUGUGCUUUCUACUUCACCAGAAGUCUUCGACAGAAUGCCCAUAAAUUUCUGCAAAGCUGAGUGUGUGUGUGACAGGUGCUGACAAGGCUAGAAAAGUAGGUGCCUCUUUGAUUUCUGAGAUCGGCCCUCGUGGUCUAUGAGCAGCCCAGCUUUUGAGAAAGCGAGAGCGCCUCUUCGAUUGAUUCGGAGAACGAUGCCUCAUCGAUUUUUGAGAAAGCAAUCAUGCUGGGGGUCUGGCUCUCGAGAUUCGGGGAGCAGUGUCUCUUCGAUUUUUGAGAAAGUAAUCAUGUUGGGAGUCUGGCUCUCGAGAUUCGGAGAGCGGUGCCUCUUUGAUUUUGGAGCAAGCAAUCUUGUUGGGAGUGUUUUCUCGAAUGUGAGUAAAGG